rnacentral:hammerhead_ribozyme from 1 species
AUCUAGCUGACGAGUUCCAAAUAGGACGAAACGCGUGUCCUGGAU